rnacentral:rRNA from 1 species
GAUGAACGCUGGCGGCGUGCCUAAUACAUGCAAGUCGAGCGAACAGACGCAGCUCUUGCUCCUGUUACGUUAGCGGCGGACGGGUGAGUAACACGUGGCUAACCUACCUAUAAGACUGGGACAACUUCGGGAAACCGGAGUUACUACCGGAAAAUAUAUCCAACCGCAUGGUUCUAGAGUGAAAGACGGGUUUUGUGUCACUUAUAGACGGAUCCGCGCCGCAUUAGCUAGUUGGUUAGGGAACGGCUUACCAAGGCAACGAUGCGUAGCCGACGUGAGAGAGUGAUAGGCGACACUAGAGCUGAGACAGGGUCCAGGGUCCUGCGAGAGGCAGCAGUAGGGUAUGUGACGCAGUAGGCGGAAACCUUGCGGAGCGGCGCCACGUCUGUGACGAAGAUCUUCCGUUCGUAAUGACGUGUUAUGGGGGGAGAACAAAUGUGUAUGUAUAUAAAGACAUCGUGACGGUACCUGAACAAAAAGCAACGGCUAACUACGUG